AAAAUAAUCCUACCCUUUGUGAAUUUUGUUUGUUUGAAUAAUUUUUUUUUUAAAAAAUUAUUGGAGUCUUUCCCUUUAGAGUUUGCUUUUGAGUUUGUAAAAGAAUUCGAAAACAUCUAAAGGGGAUGGUCAAUAAUUUUUUUGAAAAAAGACAUUUUUUAAAAUUAAACUUUUUGUAUUCAUUUGUCUAAAAAUUAUUUUUAUAAUAUAAAAACAACUUUUGACAAUGGAUCUCUUGGUUCUCGCAACGAUGAAGAACGCAGCAAAAUGCGAUAAGUAGUGUGAAUUGCAGAAUACGUGAAUCAUCGAAUCUUUGAACGCAUAUUGCACUUUUUUAGUUUACUAAAAAAGUAUGUCUGUUUGAGUAUCAGUAAAAUAUUCUCAUAAAAAUCAUUGUGUAUUUUUAUGGUUAUGAGUGUUUUUCAACGAUACAAGUUGUUUCACUUUAAAUUUUUUUUUAAUAUUGAAAUUUUUCUAAUUUUAAUAAUUAAAAUUGGAUAAAAUUUUCCCGUCAAAAGGAAUAACCUAAACAAUUUUAAAUGAUUAAUUUUAGCAAAAUUUUCGUAAAAAGGAAAAUUUUUAUUAAAAUAACUUGAUCUCAAAUCAGAUAAGAGUACCCGCUGAACUUAAGCAUAUCAAUAAGCGGAGGAAAAGAAACUAACAAGGAUUCCCUUAGUAACGGCGAGUGAAGCGGGAAGAGCUCAAAUUUGAAAUCUUCAAGGUUUUACCUUGACGAAUUGUAGUUUAAAGAAGUGUUUUCUGCUGAAGUUUUGGUAAAAGUUCUUCGGAAUAGGACAUCAUAGAGGGUGAGAAUCCCGUAUUUGACCAUUAUUUUCAGCUUUGUGAUACACUUUCAAAGAGUCGGAUUGUUUGGGAAUGCAGUCCAAAAUGGGUGGUAAAUUUCAUCUAAAGCUAAAUAUUGGCGAGAGACCGAUAGCGAACAAGUACCGUGAGGGAAAGAUGAAAAGAACUUUGAAAAGAGAGUUAAACAGUACGUGAAAUUGUCAAAAGGGAAGCGUUUGACACCAGUGUUGUUUUCUCGAAAAUCAAUUAAAAAUGGCUCGAUUUUGUAUUGCUGAGACCUUAAAAGCUCACUGUACAUUUUUCGUGUCUUUUUUAAUGCACUUUUCGUUUAACAAGUCAACAUCAGUUUCUUUGUUGUAAAAGGGUCAUUGGAAGGUGGCUUUCUUUUCGGAGAAAGUGUUUAUAGCCUUUGGCCUCUGCAAUCGGAGAGACUGAGGUCUGCAGCGUAGACUCUUCGGGGUUAGAUACAUUUGUGCUAAGUUAUAGCUUUUUAUAGACAACUUGUUGACUAUAAUUAGUCUUGUAGCUUACUCGCUUAUGCUAUUUUACCU
rnacentral:misc_RNA from 1 species